rnacentral:rRNA from 1 species
UCAGGAUGAACGCUAGCGACAGGCUAACACAUGCAAGUCGAGGGCAGCAUAAAAGUAGCAAUACUUGGUGGCGACCGGCGCACGGGUGAGUAACGCGUAUGCAACCUACCUAUCAGAGGGGAAUAACCCGGCGAAAGUCGGACUAAUACCGCAUAAAACAGGGGCACCGCAUGGUGAUAUUUGUUAAAGAAAUUCGCUGAUAGAUGGGCAUGCGUUCCAUUAGGUAGUUGGUGAGGUAACGGCUCACCAAGCCGACGAUGGAUAGGGGAACUGAGAGGUUGGUCCCCCACACUGGUACUGAGACACGGACCAGACUCCUACGGGAGGCAGCAGUGAGGAAUAUUGGUCAAUGGGCGGGAGCCUGAACCAGCCAAGUCGCGUGAAGGAAGAAGGAUCUAUGGUUCGUAAACUUCUUUUGCAGGGGAAUAAAGUGCAGGACGUGUCCUGUUUUGUAUGUACCCUGAGAAUAAGGAUCGGCUAACUCCGUGCCAGCCGCCGC